UUUAUUAUAUUGUAGGUGGCAGAAAUAACUGCGAAUGAAGUAGCCAAGGAUGGAAUUUCAAAACUAGAAGCAGCAAUAAAUAAUAGACCGCGCGGUAGGCCGUCCAAAAGACCGAGAGAUCGGGGGGAGGUCUCUGACAGCGGACACCGAAAACCGUCGUCCAAAAAGACGCUGUGCAUCUUCACCCCGUCCAAGGAGUUCUGCGUAGUUCAGAUGAAGGAUUCCAGGUUGAAACCGCAGCAAGAGCUCAAUCCACCCGAUGUCGGUGUAGAUGACGUAACCGUUGAAGAUGCUGCCAACGACGGUAACAAUAAAGGUGUUGACGACGC